GGAGAUGUAGCUCAGAUGGUAGAGCGCUCGCUUUGCAAGUGAGAGGUACGGGGAUCGAUAGUUCUCAUUUUCA
rnacentral:tRNA from 1 species